rnacentral:rRNA from 1 species
UACGUAGGGUGCAAGCGUUGUCCGGAAUUAUUGGGCGUAAAGAGCUCGUAGGCGGUUUGUCGCGUCGAAUGUGAAAACCCGGGGCUCAACCCCAAGCUUGCGGGCGAUACGGGCAGACUUGAGUACUGCAGGGGAGACUGGAAUUCCUGGUGUAGCGGUGAAAUGCGCAGAUAUCAGGAGGAACACCGGUGACGAAGGCGGGUCUCGUGGGCAG